GAUGAACGCUGGCGGCGUGCCUAAUACAUGCAAGUCGAGCGAACGGACGAGAAGCUUGCUUCUCUGAUGUUAGCGGCGGACGGGUGAGUAACACGUGGAUACCCUACCUAUAAGACUGGGAUAACUUCGGGAAACCGGAGCUAAUACCGGAUAAUAUUUUGAACCGCAUGGUUCAAAAGUGAAGGACGGUCUUGCUGUCACUUAUAGCUGGAUCCGCGCUGCAUUAGCUGGUUGGUAAGGUACCGGCUUACCAAGGCAACGAUGCAUAACCGACCUGAGAGGGUGAUAGGCCACACGGGAACUGAGACACGGUCCAGACUCCUACGGGAGGCAGCAGUAGGGAAUCUUCCGCAAUGGGCGAAAGCCUGACGGAGCAAGGCCGCGUGAGUGAUGAAGGUCUUCGGAUCGUAAAACUCUGUUAUUAGGGAAGAACAUAUGUGUAAGUAGCUGUGCACAUAUUGACGGUACCUAAUCAGAAAGCCACGGCUAACUACGUG
rnacentral:rRNA from 1 species